rnacentral:rRNA from 1 species
CCUUCGCCAGCCCGCUCAGAACUCAAGGAAUUGACGGGGGCCCGCACAAGCGGUGGAGCAUGUGGUUUAAUUCGACGCAACGCGAAGAACCUUACCAGCCCUUGACAUCCCGGUCGCGGGUUCCAGAGACGGAAUCCUUCAGUUCGGCUGGACCGGAGACAGGUGCUGCAUGGCUGUCGUCAGCUCGUGUCGUGAGAUGUUGGGUUAAGUCCCGCAACGAGCGCAACCCCCGUCCUUAGUUGCUACCAUUUAGUUGAGCACUCUAAGGAGACUGCCGGUGAUAAGCCGCGAGGAAGGUGGGGAUGACGUCAAGUCCUCAUGGCCCUUACGGGCUGGGCUACACACGUGCUACAAUGGCGGUGACAAUGGGACGCUAAGGGGCAACCCUUCGCAAAUCUCAAAAAGCCGUCUCAGUUCGGAUUGGGCUCUGCAACUCGAGCCCAUGAAGUUGGAAUCGCUAGUAAUCGUGGAUCAGCAUGCCACGGUGAAUACGUUCCCGGGCCUU